CAUCAUCAUCACCACCAUCAUCACAGCCAUCAUUAUCACAACCGCCACCACCAUCACCACCACCUGGCAGCAAUGCUUAUCACCUGUCUCGUUCCAGCCGUUGUGCUGAGUUCUUUACAGACGUCACGCAGCCUCAUUUGAUCCUCCUCAUAAGCCUAAGAAGGGCUUCCUUACUAACCUAUUUUUAAAGAUGCGAAAACUGAGGUUUAGCGAGUCGAGGUGACUUGCCCUGGUCACAUGGCUAGGCGGCGACAGACUUGGGGCUCAAAGCCAGCUCUUAUUAAGCACGAUGAUGACUGGCUUAUCGCAUCUGCACGGCCAGUCCUCUGGCCCUGGCCUGGGUCUGCCUUGUGACUGUGAGCUGAAACAUGAUGACGACAGUGGAAAUGGAUGGCAGUCGUGCCGUGCCUUAGUUGUUUGGUUGUUUUUCAAUGUACUGUUCCCAGAGACCCCAACAAGACCGACACUGAGCUGAGCUAACAGAAGGACAAGAUGUUGAACCUCCAUGCAACCUUCACGAUUGUGAAAUGAGACAGUCUCGGUCUGAGAACAAAAGAGAGGACCAGGUUCAUGCCCUACGUGUGGACUGUGUGAGGAGACUUUGCCCACCUCUGAGUACGCAAAGAAAGAGGGAAGAAAAGUGACCUGGUGGUGAGCUGCUCCCCAGACACGCCUCAUUGGGUGAGCAAGAAAGAUCUGGCUGCGGCUGCUCCUCCAGGGGACGGAGCUCAGGAGAGAUGGCGGCCGGGCUUGGAAUCCCUAUGUCGGCCAAGAACUGCUUGUAGAGGAUCCUUCCCGAAGUCGGGUCCUGAGACUUGCUGCAGAGUCUGAAUUUCAAAAAUAAUUGGCACACCCCCAUUGGAAUGGCUGAGAUUUAAAAAAGGGCGGCCCCUCGGCGUGCUGGCCAGGGCUGGAGGGACUGCAACUCUCCCA